rnacentral:rRNA from 1 species
CUACGGGCUGCUGCAAUGGGGAAUAUUGCACAAUGGAGGAAACUCUGAUGCAGCAACGCCGCGUGGAGGAUGACGCAUUUCGGUGUGUAAACUCCUUUUAUAUGUCAAGAAAAUGACGGUAGCAUAUGAAUAAGCACCGGCUAACUCCGUGCCAGCAGCCGCGGUAAUACGGAGGGUGCAAGCGUUACUCGGAAUCACUGGGCGUAAAGGACGCGUAGGCGGGUUGGAAAGUCAGGUGUGAAAUCCUACAGCUUAACUGUAGAACUGCACUUGAAACUUCUAAUCUAGAGUAUGGGAGGGGGAGAUGGAAUUAGUGGUGUAGGGGUAAAAUCCGUAGAUAUCACUAGGAAUACCUAAAGCGAAGGCGAUCUCCUGGAACAUUACUGACGCUAAGGCGUGAAAGCGUGGGGAGCAAACAGGAUUAGAUACCCUCGUAGUC